UGCACUGAAAAAUGGAGCUGUCUCCUUGGUCAUUAAUUUGGGCUCAGGGUCCUUUGAAGCGCUGGUGGAACCUGUGAAUGGGAAAUUUAAUGACAAUGCCUGGCAUGAUGUGAAAGUAACCAGGAAUCUGCGUCAGCACUCAGGCAUUGGACACGCUAUGGUGACAAUAUCAGUGGAUGGAAUUCUGACCACAACGGGAUACAUGCAAGAAGACUACACCAUGCUGGGCUCUGAUGACUUUUUCUAUGUUGGAGGCAGUCCUAGCACAGCAGACCUCCCAGGGUCACCAGUCAGUAACAACUUUAUGGGCUGUCUCAA